ensembl:snRNA U1 U1 spliceosomal RNA
AUAUUUACCUGGCAGGAGGGAUCCCAUGAUCACAAAGGUGGUUUUCUCAGAGUGAGACUUAACCAUUGUCUCCGAGGUGCUGAUUCCUGAUACUUCCCCAAAUGUGAGACGCUCGACUGCAUACUUUAUGGUAGUGGGGGCCUGAGUUUGCACUCUCCCCUA